rnacentral:rRNA from 1 species
GACGAACGCUGGCGGCGUGCCUAAUACAUGCAAGUUGAGCGCUGAAGGUUGGUACUUGUACCCACUGGAUGAGCAGCGAACGGGUGAGUAACGCGUGGGGAAUCUGCCUUUGAGCGGGGGACAACAUUUGGAAACGAAUGCUAAUACCGCAUAAAAACUUUAAACACAAGUUUUAAGUUUGAAAGAUGCAAUUGCAUCACUCAAAGAUGAUCCCGCGUUGUAUUAGCUAGUUGGUGAGGUAAAGGCUCACCAAGGCGAUGAUACAUAGCCGACCUGAGAGGGUGAUCGGCCACAAUGGGACUGAGACACGGCCCAAACUCCUACGGGAGGCAGCAGUAGGGAAUCUUCGGCAAUGGACGAAAGUCUGACCGAGCAACGCCGCGUGAGUGAAGAAGGUUUUCGGAUCGUAAAACUCUGUUGGUAGAGAAGAACGUUGGUGAGAGUGGAAAGCUCAUCAAGUGACGGUAACUACCCAGAAAGGGACGGCUAACUACGUG